UUUCUUAUUGGUCCCGUGGAUACAUUUGAACGUUCUGCAUACCUGCUUAAAGAUUCUUCACAAAAUAGAAUAUCCUAUGCGAAGGAGGGAAAAAUCAGAUAAUAGGACCGUGGGUCUUAAAAACAUAAAUGGGAGGGGCCUUUCUGAAAAGCGUUUAUUCCAGAAACCCCAUCUCACGGCCUCCCCUGUCCUCCUCCCCGACGCCGCCUCCGCUCACGCCGACGCCACCGCACCGGCCAGCCGCCGUCUCGCUCGCCAUCUCCAGCCGCUGUCUCGCCCGCCCCCGUCUCAUUCGCUUCCCAACCCGCGUCCUCUCGCGAGUUGCCCAAGCCGCCGCGCUCGCUGUCGCCGCCGCCGUCGUCUCAGCCCCAAGCCUCCAGAUCCAGCAUCCAAGAGCUCGACCAGGCGUAUCCUUCCUCCCGCCGCCCCAUCUUCACUUUGUGAGCCGCCGCGCCGAUGGCAGAGGAAGCCACCCAGGGGAAGGAGGAGGAAUUCAGCGCGGGGCCGCUGUCCGUGCUGACGAUGAGCAUGAACAACAUCACCCAGUCAUAAAAAAACAUUCAUGAGGUACAUAAGAAGCAACUGGUUCAGCCUGUGCUGGUGUUUGGCCCCUGGGUCCACAUGUUGGUGUUAGUUGAAAGCAUACCCUUUUGGCCAGUCUGUUGCCCACAAGUAGUUGGAAGGAAAUUAUUUUUCCUGGUCUGUUUGCAUGCUUAUACUCCUGGCUAUUGAUUGUAGGGGGAGGGGGAGAGUACAUGAGAUGUAUUUUUUGACUCAUAUAUAAUACGUGCUGGAUGACGAGUUUGCGGUGUUUGCUGAUGUAGCUAGCUUGUUAAUUUAGCAUUUGUCUUAAAUAUAUCAAUUCAUGGCAGUAAGGAAUAUCUGUAUGUUUGGAUGGCGAUGUCUGUUGAAUUGGCAGAACGAGCCAAGCUAUUCAGUUAAAUGCCAAUCGUGCUUGUGGUUGGCACUUAGGCAUGGGCCAACAAGUGGUCUUUGUUGGCUGUUGCUCUGUGUACUUUCGCUAAAAGAACUGAUAGGAAUAAUCUGAAAAUGCUACUGGUUCUUUAUAUUAUGUUAUAUAUCUACCAGAUGUUUAUCUUUC